UACGUAGGGUGCGAGCGUUGCCCGGAUUUAUUGGGCGUAAAGGGCGCGUAGGCGGCCUGGCAAGUGGAUGGUGAAAUCCCUCGGCUUAACCGAGGAACUGCCAUCCAGACUGCUUGGCUUGAGACCGGGAGAGGUGAGUGGAAUUCCCAGUGUAGCGGUGAAAUGCGUAGAUAUUGGGAGGAACACCAGUGGCGAAGGCGGCUCACUGGACCGGUACUGACGCUGAGGCGCGAAAGCGUGGGGAGCAAACGGG
rnacentral:rRNA from 1 species